UUACCUUUGGCUAGCAGUGAACAGCCUCCUACCUGUGUGUCUCUUGUGCUGUGUGAGAUCUUGGUGUGUCAAGCGUUCUUUACCUCAUUAGUGGGUUUUAUGAACCAGUCAGGCCAUUUUGCUAUGCAGUGCAACAGCUUCUUUGCCACAAAAGUGCUUUAUAUACAUUACAAUGUUUUCAUGAGCAAUGAAAGUCAGUAUGUAAGAGAGCAAUAUUUUAAAAUUAUGUUAUGAAUGUGCAAUACUAACUUCAGUUUUGUUACAUUAAUUUUGACAAAAUGGAUGCUUGCAAUUCAGGUUUACAUGCUUCAGACUGCAGAGUACUGUGUUAGCAGCUCUAACAUGUCUGUGCUAAAGAAUACCAGUGAUAAAAGCAUUAUGUCUGUGUCUGUCCUAUUUAAGUAAGUUCCAAAUUCAUGCUUGCCUUUGUACUUGUUUUAAAUUAGUUUUUACCAAGCAGUGAUAGGAUUGAAAGUUGGGUUUGAAGUUAGGCACUAGUGCAAUGACAUACAUCUUUUUAAUGAUAAUUUUGAGUCUAGGACUUGCCCAUUGUUCAUUGAAGAUUAAAAAGGGCAUGCUUUGUUUUCUUGCCCCUCUCUCAGUAACAUUUAUGGAGUGAGAAAUGAUCUGGACAGUGUUCUGACAUUGUUCAUGAAAUGCGUCCAACACUUCUAUUCCAACAAUGACCUCUUGUUCAGUCUGAAACCAAGAGAUGAAGUCUGAAUGGUUUCUUUUUCUCAUCUCUUGUUUACCUAUUUUAAAAUGAUGUGUUUACUCCAAUCAUACAAAUCCACAAAUUGAUCUUAGUUUUUCUUUUGAAUAGAUAGCACUUCAAAUAAUUACUCUGAGUAACAAAAACUGGUUUUGUUCAGUUGUUCCCACUUCUAUGUAAAGGCUUUGAUAUUUAAACGGUCUGCUCUGCUGCUUUUGUCUUUCAUAUAUUUAAAUUUUUUUUGUGUAUUCGCUCAUUGUCCUGCUGGUUUUCUUCCAGAGAACACAAUGUCUACUUUUCUUCAGUUUCAGAAACAACAUAAUUAUGACCUGAAAUUUAAGUAAUUUCUAGAUGACAGAAUUCUACCGAUACCUAAAUGUUAGUGACAUAACUUUAUAACUUGAAAAAUAUCUGAAGUUUUCCUUCUAAGCUGUUUCUUGAGGGUUCUGUAGAAAUACUGUAAAAAUUGACCUCUAAGAAACACUUGUAAAUUUGGACUGAAGCUGGUUUUACAGUCUGACCAAGGGAGAAGUUCUUUGCAUUUGAACUGGGAGUUAUAGACUGUCAUGAGCACAGCUUCUCUCCAGUUGUUAAAGAAAGAAGACGGAAGAACAUUUUUGGCUGAACAUGUUAAAAUAAUUCCUUCAGCUGACCCGAUGACAUUUGUGCUUCUCUCUGGUGUACAAAAGGACCUUAUGUUUAUUAAAGAAAUUGAACUAAUGUUCAGGAUUUGCUGCCAAUGAUGCAAAAAUAAAUUACCAUGAAAAUGUGAAUUGUUUGCAUAUUUUGCUAUGAAUAAUAAUUUUAGAUUCUGUAAAGUUACUGGCCAAAUUUCAAACAACAACAUAGAAGUUGCUAAAAAGAUAUGUAAAACUGUAAGAUUGAGAGUUCAAUUACAACAUGUUUUACACAGCAAAGCUUUUUUAAGUGUCUAGGUACUUCUAUUUGAUGUCGACCUAUUUUUUUCUGUGAAAGAUUGCAUGAGUUUUCCAUAAUGCUGCCAUUGCAAGUUGUACUCAAUUUCUUCUAUUGAUAAGCAUGUGGCAUACUGAAAUUAAUUUUCUUCAUUGUAAGGUUAUUUGUCUUAAAAAGACAGUACAUACUUUUAUGUUCUUAUCUACCAGCACUGACUCUUUUGUGAAAAAGGGAGUAAAUUUUUCAUUUUGUGUUGUGCCAAGUAACAUUCAAAGGAUGGUGCUAAUAACUUGGAUUCCCUUCUGUGGAAAGUAGUUUGUGCCAGGAGUGGAAGAUUUUGGAAAGCUAAACUGGAGUUAAAGUAUAUGCUGUCUUUUAAAGGAAA